GACGGAGGGGGCUAGCGUUGCUCGGAAUUACUGGGCGUAAAGCGCGCGUAGGCGGUACGGCAAGUUGGGCGUGAAAGCCCAGGGCUUAACCCUGGAAUUGCGCUCAAGACUGCCGCACUAGAGUCCGGGAGAGGAGAGUGGAAUUCCCAGUGUAGAGGUGAAAUUCGUAGAUAUUGGGAAGAACACCAGUGGCGAAGGCGGCUCUCUGGCCCGGUACUGACGCUGAGGUGCGAAAGCGUGGGGAGCAAACAGG
rnacentral:misc_RNA from 1 species